GGCCGGCUGGCCUAAUGGUUAAGGCGUCAGUUUCCGGUUCCGACUCUUUCCAGCUGAAGAUUCUGGGUUCGACUCCCAGGUUGGUCG